rnacentral:rRNA from 1 species
CCUACGGGGGGCUGCAGUGGGGAAUAUUGGACAAUGGGCGAAAGCCUGAUCCAGCCAUGCCGCGUGUGUGAAGAAGGCCUUCGGGUUGUAAAGCACUUUCAGUGGGGAAGAAAGCCUUGGGGCUAAUACCCUCGAGGAAGGACAUCACCCACAGAAGAAGCACCGGCUAACUCCGUGCCAGCAGCCGCGGUAAUACGGAGGGUGCGAGCGUUAAUCGGAAUUACUGGGCGUAAAGCGCGCGUAGGCGGUCUGAUAAGCCGGUUGUGAAAGCCCCGGGCUCAACCUGGGAUCGGCAUCCGGAACUGUCAGGCUAGAGUGCAGGAGAGGAAGGUAGAAUUCCCGGUGUAGCGGUGAAAUGCGUAGAGAUCGGGAGGAAUACCAGUGGCGAAGGCGGCCUUCUGGACUGACACUGACGCUGAGGUGCGAAAGCGUGGGUAGCAAACAGGAUUAGAUACCCUGGUAGUC